AGGGGAGAUUUGUUCAGUGGAUUCGGCGGCCGAGUGUCGACGGCGAGGCGGCUAGGGCACGACGGGUGCCCGAUCUGUGUUGUCCCCAGCGUAUCGGCCCUUCAUUCCUUCUCCACGAGUCAUUCCCGGAGCGAUCCGUGUCUUCUCUAGCCGUAUCGGACAGCGCCGUUGGAUUGAGCCGUGCCAUCGCCGAUCACCGGCGUGAGGGGACAAUUAGGGCUUCAAGGGUCAGGUCAUGGAUCGUUUGAGUGGAUCUUGGAUUCCUCUGCUGGAGCUAGGUCUUGGCAGACGCUGGCUAGCUGAGGGUCAGUAGAUUCAAUACAUUGCAUUAUGGAUUGGAUUAGGUGACACUUUCUGGAGGCAACCGAUCGAGUACUUGGACUUUCUCUUCUUCACUGUGAUUGAGGUCUCGGUUGAAGUGGAGAAGAAUCCCAGCAGUCAAUAGGUUCUGAUCAAUGAGGUGUGCUCAAGAUUUCAGCAAGGUUGAGUGCUGUGAACUUUCUUGGGUUCCAACAGCAACUACCCUAACUGACAGCAACAUCUUGGGUGGUGAUCUACUGGUGAUCACCUUGGAUUUGGGACUCUGAUUCGAGAUAGGCGUCUCGACUUCGGAUUUGGAUUGUACCUUCUAUUUGAG